rnacentral:rRNA from 1 species
UAAAUAAUUGAUGCAAUAUAUCGUUGAAUGAAAUUCUAGGUAGAAUUAUGAUGUUGACGUUGUCUGCGUAUGUGUCUUGACCAAAUUACGUGCCAGCAGUCGCGGUAAUACGUAGAAGACUAGUGUUAUUCAUCUUUAAUAGGUUUAAAGGGUACCUAGACGGUAAAUCAAGCCUGCAAUAUGGGACUAAUGUACUAGAGUUACUUACGAGGGGGUAUUAAAGUACUGCUGGUGUAGAGAUGAAAUUCUGUCAUACCUCAUUUCGGAAGAAAUACUAUGGCACAGGUAUAGGCGAAAGCAUCCCCUUAUGUGAUAACUGACGUUGAAGGACGAAGGCUUUGUGUAGCGAACAGGAUUAGAUACCCCAAUAGUCAAAGCAGAAAAUGAUGAAUGUUAUAGAUUAGACAUAUAAUAGUUUAUUCUAUAAAUGAAAGUGUAAGCAUUCCACCUCAAGAGUAAUUUGGCAACAUUGGAACUGAAAUCAUUAGACCGUUUCUGAAACCAGUAGUGAAGUAUGUUGUUUAAUUUGAUAAUCCGCAAAAAACCUUACCACAAUUUGAAUAUUUAGAUUAUUAUUUCCUUUUUUUAAUUUUGUCUUUGUGUUACCUUGUGUUAUGUUGUGUUGCAA